rnacentral:rRNA from 1 species
UGGCUCAGGACGAACGCUGGCGGCGUGCCUAAUACAUGCAAGUCGAGCGAGCGGAACUAACAGAUUUACUUCGGUAAUGACGUUAGGAAAGCGAGCGGCGGAUGGGUGAGUAACACGUGGGGAACCUGCCCCAUAGUCUGGGAUACCACUUGGAAACAGGUGCUAAUACCGGAUAAGAAAGCAGAUCGCAUGAUCAGCUUUUAAAAGGCGGCGUAAGCUGUCGCUAUGGGAUGGCCCCGCGGUGCAUUAGCUAGUUGGUAAGGUAAAGGCUUACCAAGGCGAUGAUGCAUAGCCGAGUUGAGAGACUGAUCGGCCACAUUGGGACUGAGACACGGCCCAAACUCCUACGGGAGGCAGCAGUAGGGAAUCUUCCACAAUGGACGCAAGUCUGAUGGAGCAACGCCGCGUGAGUGAAGAAGGUUUUCGGAUCGUAAAGCUCUGUUGUUGGUGAAGAAGGAUAGAGGUAGUAACUGGCCUUUAUUUGACGGUAAUCAACCAGAAAGUCACGGCUAACUACGUGCCAGCAGCCGCGGUAAUACGUAGGUGGCAAGCGUUGUCCGGAUUUAUUGGGCGUAAAGCGAGCGCAGGCGGAAGAAUAAGUCUGAUGUGAAAGCCCUCGGCUUAACCGAGGAACUGCAUCGGAAACUGUUUUUCUUGAGUGCAGAAGAGGAGAGUGGAACUCCAUGUGUAGCGGUGGAAUGCGUAGAUAUAUGGAAGAACACCAGUGGCGAAGGCGGCUCUCUGGUCUGCAACUGACGCUGAGGCUCGAAAGCAUGGGUAGCGAACAGGAUUAGAUACCCUGGUAGUCCAUGCCGUAAACGAUGAGUGCUAAGUGUUGGGAGGUUUCCGCCUCUCAGUGCUGCAGCUAACGCAUUAAGCACUCCGCCUGGGGAGUACGACCGCAAGGUUGAAACUCAAAGGAAUUGACGGGGGCCCGCACAAGCGGUGGAGCAUGUGGUUUAAUUCGAAGCAACGCGAAGAACCUUACCAGGUCUUGACAUCUAGUGCCAUUUGUAGAGAUACAAAGUUCCCUUCGGGGACGCUAAGACAGGUGGUGCAUGGCUGUCGUCAGCUCGUGUCGUGAGAUGUUGGGUUAAGUCCCGCAACGAGCGCAACCCUUGUUAUUAGUUGCCAGCAUUAAGUUGGGCACUCUAAUGAGACUGCCGGUGACAAACCGGAGGAAGGUGGGGAUGACGUCAAGUCAUCAUGCCCCUUAUGACCUGGGCUACACACGUGCUACAAUGGGCAGUACAACGAGAAGCGAGCCUGCGAAGGCAAGCGAAUCUCUGAAAGCUGUUCUCAGUUCGGACUGCAGUCUGCAACUCGACUGCACGAAGCUGGAAUCGCUAGUAAUCGCGGAUCAGCACGCCGCGGUGAAUACGUUCCCGGGCCUUGUACACACCGCCCGUCACACCAUGGGAGUCUGCAAUGCCCAAAGCCGGUGGCCUAACCUUCGGGAAGGAGCCGUCUAAGGCAGGGCAGAUGACUGGGGUGAAGUCGU